AAGACAGAAAGCCAGGGAAGUUGUGGCUGAUGAGGAAACACCUACCUGAAGGAGCAGGGGGCAGGCUCCAAACCUUUCGGGGGGCUUUGCUAAAAGACACCCAACCUCGAAUUAGUUCCAGUCCAUUUCCAGUUUCCCAGGCUGUGCACUUGGUUUCAACAAAGCCGGUCAGACGUCAAAUGGAGUUCAUUAUAAUGGAAUUUUACCUGAGGCAGCCCCUCCCCCACUUCUUAACAUCAUGGCACCCAAGAUAUGGGUGUGCUUGCCAAAGACGCUGGGCCGAAGUCACUUCCUGCCCCUGGCAGAAGUCCGGAAAUUCAGAGCCAUUUGGAACAAAGAACUCUGCCCCGAAGGUGUUUUCCAGCUUCUCCCUGGCCAGAUUGGAACUGCCCCAUUCACCUUCGUACCACCUGCUGUGUUUUUUCCAUCCCUCCUAGACAGGAAGGGGAGGAGGGAAUGACCAGGACACUGCAGGAAAGGCAGUGCACAAAAAUGAAGCCUAUAUCAAGUGUUGAAAAGGAUGGAGAACAAUGGAAACUUUCAUCCACUGCUGGAAGUGUUUUUUGGGACAACCACUGUGGAAAGUUGUCUGGCACCCUAUAGCAAUGCUGAACAUAGAAUUCCAUGGGAGGCAGCAAUUCCAACCCUAGGUAUGUGCCCUACAGAAAUUCUUGUGAGUUUCUCAUGAACCAGAAGACAAGUAUAAUGUGUACACCCCUAGAAGUACUGUCCUAUUGUAAUAGCUCAACUGGAAACAACCCAAAUGUCCAUCAGUGAGAGGAGGAUAUACAAAUCGUGGUGUAUUUUUCCAAUGGAAUACUACACAGUAGUGCAAACCCAUGAACUGCAGUGGUGUGCAUUGACAUGGAUGAACCUCAGAAAACUCAUUGACUCAAAGAAGAGUACAUCAAAGAGAACACACAGUGAGAAUGACUUCCUUCCUGGAAGAGUAACUGAGAGUCACUACACGGUCAUCGUGGCAGCUCUGCUCCCUCCAUGCCUAUGCCCGAUCACCCACAGGCUGGACCUCUGGGGAGCCCACCCUUUGCAUCUGGACCAUGAGGAUCCAGGACCCAGAAGGCAGGACAGUUUCUCUUCCACAUGUUGCCACAGCAGGAUGCAGGCACUGCCAUCAGUGCCUGUCACUUGGAUUGAGCAAGAACAGCCUGUCCCCACCCUGGACCAUUUCCCCAAUAGUCAGACCAGACCAAAGAGGUAAACUCUAGCGUCUUUCGGAACUGACUCUGUCUCCUGCGACACAGCUUCUCCCUGGC
rnacentral:antisense_RNA from 1 species